rnacentral:rRNA from 1 species
CCCGGGCCUUGUACACACCGCCCGUCGCACCACGAAAGUCGGUAACACCCGAAGCCAGUGGCCCAACCCUUUGGGAGGGAGCUGUCGAAGGUGGGAUCAGCGAUUGGGGUG